AAUGUUUUCAUUUCUUACCCUAAUCUUAGAGAUUGUCAUUAUUUUUAGGCUAUUUCCUCCCCUAAUCCCCUUCUUGCCUUGAGUGUUGCCGACGAUUGGAGUCACUGUCAAACUCAAACUCCAUCCAACAUCCAGUUGUGCGGCCGGUUCAAUCGAGUGAUGUUGCUGCCCUGUCGAUUCAUUUGAUUUUGCGAGUGCUGCUGUUGUUUCAGCAGUCCGCGAUCUACCUCCCAUAAUUGACAGUUGCCAGCGUCGUCCUUCGCCAUAGCCGUCUGCUUCCCAAGGACCCAAGGUUAGUACAGAUCCUACAGACUUUAGUCUUUGAAUUAUUUUUUGUUUUGAACUUUUGAUUUUACUUGCAUCUCUUGAUCUCCGGUUGAAAGACACAUUUGGAAAAAUGGCAACUUCUUUUAGAGGAUGGGGUUUAUAACAUCAGCCAUUUUUGAAAUAUGGACUAGAGUUGCCUUUCGAUGUAGUUUUCCUCCAUAUAUCCCAAAUAUAUUGUUCAAGAAUCAAGACCAAUUCUAGUUACUAAAUUAACCUCUUUUGCAUUUGAAAUCUUGUUUCGGGUCCUGUAUAAUUAUGAAUAAAUUUAAUGUAGACUAGUUAAUGAGUAUUUCUGAUUUCUAGUUUUCAUUGCAACAAAUUAUUCUUGACAAUUAGUUAUAAUGAAAAGUGAAAUCCAAAUAUAUGAGUUGUGAUUUGGGAAUGUUGGUUAAUUUAUUGGAUUUAUAUUUCUAAUUACUUGGAAUCUGUUUUAGUUUGUUAUUCACACGUGUCUUUUACCUAGUCUUUAGGAUUUUGUUGUUGCAGAUUGGUUAGUGGUCCCAUGUCAAGCUAUUAUUUUGCUAAGUCUAUUGGUUGUAUAGCCUAUAUAUAUAAGCUGAUUUGUAGAUGAACAAAGAUAAAGCAGUCAAGAUAUCUAUUCCAGAUUUUGCCUUUAAGCUUUAUAUAUAUGCUUCUGAUUUUAUCAGUGGUAUCAGAGCUGGUUAAUGUGUGAGAAAGUGAGUUGUAAGGGUUUACAAAAGGGAGGUUGAGAGAGUCAUAAAUAGAGUCUUUGGGAGAUAAAAUUAUGAGGAGAAGCAGCUAUUUUUUUUAUUUAUUCUCUUUUUGAAGCAGCCGUAGAGAACGAUGACCUCUGAAAACUUUGUGUAACCUGCAAGUCCACGUUUUGAUGGUUAUUAUAAUCUAGAGCAUGUUAAUAGAGAAUUCUUUCCGGUCUAAAGAGUAUUGGUAGAUUGUUGAAGUUGGAGUAGCAGAACCAGCAACUGGCAUAGUUUUAUCAUACCAACAAAGAAUUGAACUUGAAGGACAGCAGUUAAAGGCCCUUAAAGCAAAGAACUAUCUCUUCCAAGCAAUUGAUCGCUCAAUUUUGAAAACUAUUCUUUGCGAGGACACCACCAAACACAUAUGGGAUUCAAUAAAGAAAAUGUUUCAAGGGUCUACAAGGGCAAGAAGAUAGCAACUCCAAGCAUUACAUACUGAGUUCGAAACACUUCGAAUGAAAUCAGGGAAAUCUGUCUUAGAUCUUUCUCAAGAACUAUGUCGAUUAGCAACAUGAUGUGAGUCCAUGGUGAAAAGAUUGAGGACAUAACUGUAGUGGAAAAGAUUCUUUGAUCGAUGACGCCAAAAUAUAAUUAUGAGGUUUGCUCAAUUGAAGAGUCAAAGGAUCUUGAUAAUUUUUGAAUUGAUGAAUUCAAAGUUCAUUGUUGUUUAAUGAGCAAAAAUUUAUCCAGCAGAAAAAGGAAGAGCAAGCAUUAAAGGCCUCAAUAGAAACUCACUAAACUCCAAUUAGAGCAUACAGGGGAAAAGGCAAAGGUCGAGGCAGAGGAGGAAGAGGCAUCAAUGAACAUGGAAACCAACAACAAUACCAUGAAAAUCAAUUUCUAGGAAGAGAUGGAGGAUGUGGUGGUCACCAUUCAACUUCUUAUAGACUACAAUCAACAAACAAGUCCAAUGUUGAGUGCUAUAUAUGUCACAGUUAUGGCCAUUAUCAGUCAGAAUGUCGAACUAAUUUGAAUAAGCAACCUGGAGGAAGAACUAACUUUGUAGAAAAAGAAGAAGAGGUGCCUCUUUCGGUGGUAUGUCACACGAAGGAAUAAAAUCAACAAAAUAUGUGGUAGUAUUUAGGCACUGGUUGCGGCAACCACAUGUGUGGAGAUAAGACGGCAUUUUUCGACUUGGAUGAAUCUUUGCACAAUAUUGUGAAGUUUGGAGAUAAUUCCACUAUUUCUGUUAUGGGGAAAGGAAAGGCCAACUUCAAGAAAAGGGAUUUGGGAUUUCUAUUAAAGAUGGAUUAUGCAGAAUCCAAGAUGGAAUAUGAGAUUGCUCAAGUGAAAAUGACAGCAAAUAGGAUGUUUCCCUUGUAUCUUUAUCGUACCACUCACUCAUGUCUUAUUGCAAAAUUAAAAGAUAUAGCUUGAUUAUGCACUUUCGCUUCGGCCAUCUCAAUUUUGGUGGAUUGAAGACCUUGCAACAGAAAAAUAUGGUGGUGGGCCUUCCAAAAUUUGAGACAUCUUUAGAGUUGUGUGAAGAAUGUAUUAUUAGUACACAACAUCGAGAUGUCUUCCCAAAAAGAAAGUCGUGGAGGGCAAAGGAAAUGCUAGAACUAGUGCAUUCCGACAUGUGUUGGCCGAUAAAUCCAAUAUCUAAUGAUGGUAAAUGAUAUUUUAUGUUGUUUAUUGAUGACCUGGGUUCAUUUUUUGCAGGAAAAAUCAUAUGCUUUCAUUAUUUUUCAAAAAUUUAAAGCACUAGUUGAAAAAGAAUCUGGCACCCCGACCAAAAUAUUACGCACAGAUCGUGGUGGAGAAUAUAACUCAAAAGAAUUUGGUGAAUUUUGGGAUAAACAUGGAAUUAGAACACAGCUGACUGCAACUUAUACACCUAAACAAAAUGGUGUUUGUGAGAGGAAAAAUCGCACUAUUUUGAAUAUGGUGCGAAGUCUUUUGCAAAGGAGAAGAGUUCUAAAAAGCUUUUGGGCUGAAGCGGUUAAUUGGAGUGUUUAUAUUUUGAAUAGGAGCCCUACACUAGCUGUUUAAAAUAUAACUCCUGAAGAAGCAUGGAAUGGGCGUAGACCAACUGUUGAUCAUUUUCGAGUUUUGGGUGUAUAGCGUAUGUGCAUGUUUCAGAUGGGGAAAAAAAAAAAAAAAGUCAGAUGGCAAAGGUGAAAAAAGUAUUUUUCUUGGUGUUAGUGAUUAUUCAAAGGGUUAUAAAUUGUAUAAUCCUACCACAAAGAAAAUUAUCAUUAGUCAUGACGUAGUUUUUGAUGAAGAAAAAACAUGGUUUUGGAUUAGCAACACUGAUGAGCAACAUGUUCCAGCAGAUUUUGAGAGUGAAAAUGAGGAGGAAACUAUGCAACAAGCUCCAGCAAUCCCUGCUCCCAAAAAUUCUCAAGAUGAACCUUCCAUAACUUCUGAAAUUUGAUCAGUAGCCACAAGAAAUGAUGAAUAGGUUGAUGCUACAGCAGAUUCACGUCCUCAACGUGUUAGAUAAAGGCCAGCAUGGAUGUCAAAUUAUGAGAUAACAAGAAUUGCUGAUUUUGAGGACCCAUUUACACACUUUGCUCUAUUUUUAAAUUUUGAUCCCACAACUUUUGAGGUUGUUGUCAAAGAACGGAAGUGGAAGAAGGCUAUGGAUGAACAGAUUUAAGCCAUUGAAAGGAAUAAUACUUGGGAGCUAACUGAGCUUCUAAAAGGGCAGAAGAUAAUUGGUGUCAAGUGGGUUUACAAGACGAAAUUAAAAGAGAAUGGUACAAUUGAUAAAUAUAAGGCGCACCUAGUAGCUAAAGGUUAAAAGCAAGAGUUUGGCGUGGAUUACAAAGAAUUGUUCGCUCAAGUUGCAAGACAUGACACAAUUAGAUUGAUGAUUGUGUUGGCAGCUCAACAUUCAUGGCCCAUGUUCCAAUUGGAUGUGAAAUCGGGAUUUUUAUAUGGAGACUCGCAAGAAGAGGUAUUUGUUGAUCAACCUCCUGGUUAUGUGAAAUUAGGUAGUGAGCAUAAGGUUUAUAAACUUAAGAAAGCACUAUAUGGACUAAAACAUGAACCUAGAGCUUGGUAUAAUCAUAUAGAUGCUUAUUCCUUAAGGAAAAAACAAUGUCCAUAAGAGCAUAUUGUUUACACAAAAAUUGAAGGGGAAUGAAAAGUGCUAAUGAUAUGAUUGUAUGUAGAUGAUUUAAUUUAUAUGACAAGGGUAUGUUUGAAAAGUUUAAGCAAUCAACAAAGCUAGAGUUUGAUAUGUUUGACCUUGGGCAAAUGCAUUAUUUCUUGGCAUAGAAGUAGUGCAAUCUCCUGCUGGAAUUCUUAUUUCUCAAAAAAGAAAAAAUAAGCUGAAGAAAUUUUAGAGAAGUGUCAAAUGAAAAACUGCAUUCAUAUCGUUACUCCAGUAGAACAAGGAUUGAAGCUUGUAAAGGAUUCAGCAGGAAGAUAAGUUAAUAAGACUCUUUACAAUAAAAUAGCUGGAAGUUUGAUGUAUUUGAUAGAAACAAAACCUCAUAUAAUACAACCAGUAUGGAGAGUCGAAAAGAGAUUCAUCUUCUAGCUGCAAAAAGGAUCCUUUGGUGCUUGCGUGGUACUACUGAUCUUGGGCUAUUCUAAAAAAGUGGUGAAAAUCAGGAUUGUUUGGAUUCACAGAUAGUGAUUAUGCUGGGGAUUUGGAAGAUAGAAGAAGCACAUAUGGAUAUCUUUAUGUUUGGUUCUGCAACUGUUUCGUGGUCAUCAAUGAAAUGAACAUUAGUUACUCUAUCAACAACCGAGGCAGAAUUUGUUGCAGCAAUUCUUGUGCUUGUCAAGCACUUUGGUUAAGGAAAUGCUUGAGAAACUUCAGUUCAAGCAACUAGGUUCUACUCAUAUUUUUUGUGAUAAUAGUUUAACAAUCAAGCUCUCAAAGAAUCCUACUUUUCAUGGAAGAUGCAAGCACGUAGAUGGAGAUACCACUUAUUGUGUGAUCUUACCAAGGAUGGAAUUAUUGAUCUUCUUUACUGCAAAAGUGAAGAUCAAAUAGUUGAUAUCUUUACUAAACCCCUCAAAUUUGCUAGCUUUCUGAAGCUGAGGAAAUUACUUGGAGUUUGUACUCUGGAGAAUUGAAUUUGAGAUUUGGUGUACAUAAUUGUUAAACUGAACGUUUGAAACAUUUAGUUUAAAUGAGGGAUUGUUGAUUAUUUUAUUGGAUUUAUAUUUUUAAUUACUUGGAAUCUGUUUUA